CAGUAUUGUGGGAUGUGGCUCCGGAAAGAAUGAAAACCAGAAAAGUUUGUCUUUGCACCGGUUACCAAGAAGUGAAAAUAGAAAAGGAAAAUGGUUAGAAGCAAUUGAAACUGAAAAUAUCAAGCCAAAUGUAAAGGAUAUAUCAUAGUAUGUUCCCUACAUUUCCCCGAAAGUGCUUUCAAUAGAACAAUGGAUGUGAUUAGUCUGCACGAUGAUGCUAUACCAGUAUGUUUGCCGCUGCAUUCACACAGGGUACCGGUUGAGCCUCAAAUCCCGAACUCAAAAAUGAACAGAGUGAAUCCGAGUGCAUCACAGGCUGCACGAAAUAGUUUAGUUCUAUAAUUUUCUCUGUUAUUAAGUAAUUAUUGUUUUUUUUUUUCUAUUA